rnacentral:lncRNA from 1 species
GAGAACUGGAGUAUCUUCUGCUAGAAGGAUUCUUAGGCCCUCCAAAGCUUUCUGUUGAUUCGCAGCUUUGCUCAAGUAUGAAUCAACUCUCCCUUUAGGACAAGUACUGCUUCCUGAACAUUGAUCUUUGGUGAAUGAAUUAGAUGUUUCAUCUUUUCUGUCAUGUGAGUUGUUCUUGGUUCGAUUUGUAUCUUCCUUCAAAUUAUUUUCUUCUAGAUCCACAUCAGUUAAUUCAAUUAAGCACUUGCUAAUUGUCUGAUACUUUGAUGCACUUGUGGUCCUGCAUCUUUCCUUUUGUUUCUCUUCAUUGUGAAAUACAUCUAGAGAAUUCGAAUUACCCAUUUCCGCCAUAUCUGAAUCUUCUGAACUAGCAUUGUCAAACUGAGUGGAAUCAAUUUCAAGACAUUCAUGCAUAUCAUUGGCAUCCUUUGCUAUACCUCUCGCAGCAUUCAAACUUUUCUUUUGUUGUUCCUUGAUAACAGUUUCCAAGAUUUGAAUCAUUUUUGCCUUGUAUAGAGGUUUAUUGACCAUCAGUAUGUGCC